UACAGAGGGUGCGAGCGUUGUUCGGAUUUACUGGGCGUAAAGGGCGCGUAGGCGGCCACCGCAAGUCGGUUGUGAAAUCUCCGGGCUUAACCCGGAAAGGUCAACCGAUACUGCGGGGCUAGAGUGCAGAAGGGGCAACUGGAAUUCUCGGUGUAGCGGUGAAAUGCGUAGAUAUCGAGAGGAACACCUGUGGCGAAGGCGGGUUGCUGGGCUGACACUGACGCUGAAGUGCGAAAGCUAGGGGAGCGAACGGG
rnacentral:rRNA from 1 species